rnacentral:rRNA from 1 species
ACGGGGCCCGCACAAGCGGUGGAGCAUGUGGUUAAUUCGACGCAACGCGAAGAACCUUACCAGGGCUUGACAUCCCUGACCGUCUAUGAAAGUAGGCUUUCUACCUUCGGGUAGACAGGGAGACAGGUGGUGCAUGGUUGUCGUCAGCUCGUGUCGUGAGAUGUUGGGUUAAGUCCCGCAACGAGCGCAACCCUUACGGUUAGUUGCCAGCGGGUUAUGCCGGGCACUCUAGCUGAACUGCCGUUGACAAAACGGAGGAAGUGGGGAUGACGUCAAAUCAUCAUGCCCUUUAUGUCCUGGGCUACACACGUGCUACAAUGGCCUGUACAGAGGGAAGCGAAAGGGUGACCUGGAGCGAAUCCCAAAAAGCAGGUCUCAGUUCGGAUUGCAGGCUGCAACCCGCCUGCAUGAAGUCGGAAUCGCUAGUAAUCGCAGGUCAGCAUACUGUGGUGAAUACGUUCCCGGGCCCU